AUUGAACGCUGGCGGCAGACCUAACACAUGCAAGUCGAACGAGUGGCGGACGGGUGAGUAAUGUCUGGGAAACUGCCUGAUGGAGGGGGAUAACUACUGGAAACGAUAGCUAAUACCGCAUACCAUCGGAUGUGCCCAGAUGGGAUUUGCUAUUGGGUGGGGUAAAGGCGCACCUAGGCCACGAUCCCUAGCUGGUCUGAGAGGAUGACCGGCCACAGUGGAACUGGGACACGGUCCGAACUCCUACGGGGGGCAGCAGUGGGGAAUAUUGCACAAUGGGCGCAAGCCUGAUGCAGCCAUGCCGCGGGUAUGAAGAAGGGCUUCGGGUUGUAAAGUACUUUCAGCGGGGAGACGUUACCCGCAGAAGAAGCACCGGCUAACUCCGUGCCAGCAGCCGCGGUAAUUC
rnacentral:rRNA from 1 species